rnacentral:misc_RNA from 1 species
GAUAAAGAACGUAGCGAAAUGCGAUAAGUAGUGUGAAUUGCAGAAUUCAGUGAAUCAUCGAAUCUUUGAACGCACAUUGCGCCCCCUGGUAUUCCGGGGGGCAUGCCUGUCCGAGCGUCAUUGCUGCCCUCAAGCACGGCUUGUGUGUUGGGCCUCCGUCCUCCUCCCGGGGGACGGGCCCGAAAGGCAGCGGCGGCACCGCGUCCGGUCCUCGAGCGUAUGGGGCUUCGUCACCCGCUCUUGUAGGCCCGGCCGGCGCUUGCCGACACAUCAAUCUUUUUUCCAGGUUGACCUCGGAUCAGGUAGGGAUACCCGCUGAACUUAAGCAUAUCAAUAAGCGGAGGA